UACGGAAGGCAGCAGGUGGGGAAUAUUGCACAAUGGGCGAAAGCCUGAUGCAGCUAUGCCGCGUGUAUGAAGAAGGCCUUAGGGUUGUAAAGUACUUUCAUCGGGGAGGAAAAAACAAAACUAAUAAUUUUAUUUCUUGACGUUACCCGAAAAAGAAGCACCGGCUAACUCCGUGCCAGCAGCCGCGGUAAUACGGAGGGUGCUAGCGUUAAUCAGAAUUACUGGGCGUAAAGAGCACGUAGGUGGUUUUUUAAGUCAGAUGUGAAAUCCCUGGGCUUAACCUAGGAACUGCAUUUUGAAACUGAAAUACUAGAGUAUCGUAGAGGGAGGUAGAAUUCUAGGUGUAGCGGUGAAAUGCGUAGAUAUCUGGAGGAAUACCUGUGGCGAAAGCGGCCUCCUAAACGAAUACUGACACUGAGGUGCGAAAGCGUGGGGAGGCAAACAGGGAUUAGAUACC
rnacentral:rRNA from 1 species